AUUGAACGCUGGCGGCAGGCCUAACACAUGCAAGUCGAGCGGAGCGGCGGACGGGUGAGUAAUGUCUGGGAAACUGUCUGAUGGAGGGGGAUAACGUCCGGAAACGGGCGCUAAUACCGCAUACUAUCAGCUGAGCCUAUGUCGGCUUAGCUAGUUGGUGGGGUAAAGGCCUACCAAGGCGACGAUCCGUAACUGGUCUGAGAGGAUGAUCAGGCACACUGGAACUGAGACACGGUCCAGACUCCGACGGGAGGCAGCAGUGGGGAAUAUUGCACAAUGGGCGCAAGCCUGAUGCAGCCAUGCCGCGUGUAUGAAGAAGGCCUGCGGGUUGUAAAGUACUUUCAGCGGGGAGGCGUUACCCGCAGAAGAAGCACCGGCUAACUCCGUGCCAGCAGCCGCGGUAAUAC
rnacentral:rRNA from 1 species